rnacentral:rRNA from 1 species
GGGAUGGCAUCAUGGCAGUUCGACGGAGGGAGUACGGUGGAGAGAUUUCGGUCAAAUCAUGUGCAUCUUUAGUGGCGGACGGGUGAGUAACGCGUGGGUAACCUGCCUUACACAGGGGGAUAACACUUAGAAAUAGGUGCUAAUACCGCAUGAGCGCACAGGACCGCAUGGUCGAGUGUGAAAAACUGAGGUGGUGUAAGAUGGACCCGCGUCUGAUUAGCUAGUUGGUGAGGUAACGGCCCACCAAGGCGACGAUCAGUAGCCGGCCUGAGAGGGUGGACGGCCACAUUGGGACUGAGACACGGCCCAAACUCCUACGGGAGGCAGCAGUGGGGGAUAUUGGACAAUGGGGGGAACCCUGAUCCAGCGACGCCGCGUGAGUGAAGAAGUAUCUCGGUAUGUAAAGCUCUAUCAGCAGGGAAGAAGAAAUGACGGUACCUGAGUAAGAAGCCCCGGCUAACUACGUGCCAGCAGCCGCGGUAAUACGUAGGGGGCAAGCGUUAUCCGGAAUUACUGGGUGUAAAGGGAGCGUAGACGGUGAUGUAAGUCUGGAGUGAAAGGCGGGGGCCCAACCCCCGGACUGCUCUGGAAACUAUGUGACUGGAGUGCAGGAGAGGUGAGCGGAAUUCCUAGUGUAGCGGUGAAAUGCGUAAAUAUUAGGAGGAACACCAGUGGCGAAGGCGGCUUACUGGACUGUAACUGACGUUGAGGCUCGAAAGCGUGGGGAGCAAACAGGAUUAGAUACCCUGGUAGUCCACGCCGUAAACGAUGAUCACUANGUGUCGGUGGGUAUGGGCCCA